CGACCUAACCCGCGUCCCCCCGCCUCCCCAACCUCCCUCCUCCUCCCUCCCUGCUCCACGCGCGCGCUCGCCUCCGGCCAUCUCCGCCGCCAGCCCUCCUCUCCAUCUCCCUCUCCUAUCCAUCUCCCUCCUCCACGCGCCCAGUGCUCGCGCGCUUGUGUCCCGCACCAACCGCAGCCGCCCCGUCGGGGCUCCCAGCCGCCAUGGCCUAGCGCACCCUCGCCAUCGACCUCCCCGACGCUCGAGGUGCAGCAGCGGGGAGCCAGUUCUCGACCUCCAUGGAGGAGAAGGGCCUAGCGGGCUCUUGCAGACAAGAGAGGCUGGGGGUGCUCGUCGGUUGGGCAGAUGGAGGGCAUCCGAGUUUCUUCAAUCGAUCUGGCCAGGGCCACGGCAGCGUACGCGAAGGCUGGAGGUGAACGACCCUCUGGAGCUGCAGAUGUCGACAGAAGAAGAAUUUUGAUGAAGGAUUUGAUAAAGAAGAACAGGUGAAUUCUCUCUCUUGAAUAUAGUCAGGCGGCAUUCAGGUCUCCUACUAAAGCUCCUCGCCGGCGUGGCCACUCUCCCCUCCAACUGCAGGCUGAGACAAAAUAUUGGCAAGCAUUACCAUUAUGAUCCUCCAUCGAUCAUCAUGGUUGAAGGAAAAUGUAUUAGGCAUGGUAUUUUCAAGCUAAGUAUACCAGCAGCCGAUGCUGGACCUCGUGAUGCAUAUAGUUUGCAUAUUUCUAUUCAUCCAAUUCCUUCAUCCAUUUUUCCUUAUUUUUCUGUUCGCUCAUUUAUUCUAGCAUAUUCCUAUCAGUAUUUUUCAGCUGAAGGAUACAUGCUCUGAUUACCAAACGAAUGUGCAGGCAACGCCCAUUUGAUUUCCGUGGACAAAUAUCCUUUUUUGAGCUUAUUAUUCACAAUUUAUAGUAAUAUGCUAUUAUGGGCUUUGCUCCAGCAUGAUAAGGAGGAAAGAACUGCAGGCUGUAUUGUUCGUUGACAUUCAUGAUCAGUUACACACCAAGCCUAUAUUUUUGCUGCUUCUACAUGUUGCUAUGAUGGUCAUUCAGCCCAUUUUCUUAUCGCAUGACCUUGAAAAAGAGCUUAUUUAGUUAAUGAUUUUCACUUACUAAAAUUCAGAGAGCUCUUGCUGGGUAUGGAGCUGUUGAUUACUCAAAACCUGUUGAUGUAUUAGUUUGUUUCAGAGAUCUCUUGGUUUGGCAUACUGGCGCUUUCGCUGAACUCGACAAAGUAGCUUCACAACACAAUGUGUAGUUCAGUGUAGAGUUUUGUAUGAAAUCGUGAAAGCAUUUCAUAUUCCUUAUUUUUUUUCUUUUCAUAUGAUGUUAUGAAAUUGGUUACUAAUUUGCAAGACAUAUGCAUUUUUCAUUAAAAAACUUGUUAAGUGUUGUGGCUGGUUAUAUGCAGCUCCAUCUCUCUCUCUCUCUCUCUCUACGCACUCAUGUUCAGUUGUUAUUUUGGUGUGCAAGAGAGUAGUUAGUUAGAAGCUUACGUUCUUUAUGUUUCUGGAUUUGGUGCAGGUUCGAGGAUGUAAACCUACCUGAUAUAUUCUUCAUGGGGAUUGAGUAUGUUAGUGAUAUAUCUGAGAAUUUUAAUGAUCUAUCUGCUAGCAGCUGCAGGCGGAGUUCAGACUCUGUUUUUGCUACAAAAGAAUCAGGCCACCCCUGAUGCCCAGGCUGAUGCUUCUUCGCUUGAUGCUGAAGAAAGGGAUGACCAGAUUCAGAUGCCCAAGAAAAAGCAGGCGCCGCAUCUUCUCUUAUACCUUUAUCUAUGUACUUUAACUUCGCUUGAUGCGGGCGCGUGUCUGGUGUCCCUGCUAAAAACCGACAGUUACCUAAGAAUUUGCAGCAGUUAAACCCUGAAUUUGCAGCGGUUAAAACCUGAAGCUACUUCUACUUUUCCUAUGAAGGAUCACAACUACACUGAAUACAGCAAACCUGUUCCCAUAUCGUGUGGAAAACUACUUCAUUCUUCUCUAUGUGUUUUCUGAUGCAUUUUUGGUAGUGGGAGUGGGAUAUGGAGAGGGAGAGAGCAUAUCCAAAUGGAAUGGAUGGGAACAUGAUAUUUGCAGAUCUGAGAAAGAAGAGAUAGGACCAAGAAAAAUAGGUUUCUCCAUCCUGUUAAGUUUCCUUGCUUGUUUAGCAUUUGGUGAAAAAUUAUGGGCCAGUGCAUUGGCGCGGCCAGCCUACCUGUGUACAGAAUCUAUGCUUAAAUUUUUUGUAAAAAAUAGUGCUUUCUUGCUUACGGUUCUUGCGAUGGUUUGUGCUGAAAAAUCUAUGAGCUAAUGCAUUUGUGCAAUCAGCCUGCCUGUGUGCGGAAUCUUUGUUUAGAUUUUGUCAAAAAGUUGCUUUUCUGACUAUUUUUCUCAUGGUGGUUUAAUCCCAUAGAUAAAUUGUGUGUGUGUCUAUGAUUGUUGUGUCCGGUCUCUAUCUAUGCAAUCAUCCGAUGCAUGUCUAUGUAGUUAUUUGGAGUAUACUUACUUACAUAUGGGUUAGAUCAGCAGAAUCAAAACCGAAUAUUGUGAUGCUAGAAUUGGUUCAAUGUUGUUCCCUCAUGUGGUAGUGACAUGUUUUGUAACAUUCUAUUCAAAACUAGGCGGGGACGUCUCUUGGUAUGGAAACUUUAUUUUGUACCACUUGCAUUCUGAACUGUAUAACUCCUUUUCUUUUGUAUAUAUUACCAGUAUAUUUUCAGCUUGCACAUAACUGUUGAUUGUCAAAGUAAGAAAUAAAUUAGCAAUAACUGCCAUGAGUUUGAAUUGCCCAUUACAUGUCCAUAGUUUGGAAUUUUACCUAACCUUGAAUAGUUUCCUUAUAUCUCAUUUUCUUUCAUGUGUGUGUAUAUAUAAAAUGCUUAGUUCUUAUUAUUUCACAUGUUUAAGAGAUAAAGGCACAUCCAGGGAAAGGUUUCGAUGUAAUUAUACGUACAUUUAUUUAUGAUGGUUCUUCCAACAUGAUCAGGUCAGAAGAAUUUUUCCUUGUUUUGUUAUGUUUCACACUAUUGUCCAAAUGGAUGUGCCUUAUUUUCCUAAUUAUCUUAUACCCUUAUGCCCAACGCUUCUCACCAAGAUCCGUAAGUGUGACCGAUGAACCAUGUUACAAAGGAAGUAGUCUGACAUCCGUUGAGUAAUUUAACCAUGCAAUUUAUGUUAUGAACAAGUUUUAAAAAUAGUCUUGGUGAAAAGUGUUGUUCUAUAAAUAGCUUUCUUCCAAUUUUUAGUUUUGCUGAUUUUUAAUGUGUCAGUUUUGAUCGAAAUUUUAGUUUGGUUGACGCCACCUUCUGCAUUCCUUUUGUAUACUUAACUGAAAGCAGAACUUGUUAAGUGAGGAUUGGUUACUUGGUCUUAUUUGGGCUCUCAGUAGUGAGUACCUAAACUGAUGCAAUAACAACUUAUUGCAUUCUUCCUAUAAUUCGAUCUGAGCUUAGUGUUUUGCCAGUUUGCAUGUAAAUGCGAUAAAAGAUCUCACUUUAUGAUAUUUGGUAUAUACAAUAUGCUUCAAGUGCAAUAAUGUACAAGUGGAUUUGAGGAUCAAAUGGAGUGAAAGGAAGGCAUGAUUAAAUUUGCAUGCACUUUCUAUUGUUACAGAUCCAACCUAUGUUUGAUAUUGAUCUUGCCUCGCCUCAUGCUAAUCUCUCUUGUAUAACAAGACAUACUUAUUCGAUGAUUUGGCUCCUCUUUACUAAUUUAUUAUUGUUUUUUGCUCAUCUAUAUAUAGGUUAUGAUAUGUCAUUGCCCAGCUUAUGAAAGGAGCUGAUGACUGGGGUACCAUAGCAACGAACUGGACAGAGUUCUUCCAUUUAAAAAACAGAGGAAAGAUACAUGCUUUCUGUCUUCAGACGCAAGGCAAAGAGCGUUCGUCUAAUCAUUCACUCCUGAAGACACCAUCCUAAACCUUUAGUGUCGCCUAUAUAGCUUGCAUUCCAGAAUUCAUGUUUACAGUGCUUUUGUGCCAUGUGUGGUAUGCUCCACAUUGGCUCGUCUUUCCUUGUGUUACCUCUUAGUAUAGGUAUUAUAGAUCGUCAGUCUGACUAUAAGUAUCAAUGAAGAAAGCUUAUCUUUCAUUCUCUUUCAGUCGAAUUAAGGUGCUUACAAAUGCCCUACAAUACCUACAUAAUACAUGAUCCUAAUUGGCUUCUUGCACCAUGGGUGUUACAAGAGUAAAGGUUUAUCUAAUGAGGCCUUGUCGCGGCGCUGCAAGUGUUGCCCCCCUCCUCCCCAAGGGCAAGGUGAAGGAAGGUGCCUGUGUGGUUCUUCUGCAGCUCGCAGCGAGGAUUGCUGUGUCCAACCUGCACAAGAAUGCCAAGAAGUCCUUCUCGGAGACGAUUAAGGACAUGUACCUGCACUACAACAAGAGAUCUGGACUGCUUCUUUGUGGCUUUCAAACUUGAAAUGUUUGUUUGAAAGUUAGUUUAGUUUUUUGUUGUGGAUUCACAGCUUCUCAUGUACCGUCCUCUUAGACCUUUAGAUUUCCAAAGAAACUAAAUGAAGAUAUGGUGGUAUGUUCUUAAUAGUACAACUUAAAGCCUUCCAUGCUUUAUAUUUU